UGUUCUUUCCCUCCUGCUUCGGUGCUCCACAGCGCCUUAAGCCCCAGCCUGUCAGAAUGAGAAAGGAAAGGGGAGAAGUGUUCUUCCAACAAAACUACACUACUUUGGGGAAGUAGAUAAGAGGAGACCCACACACCAAACGGCGAUCGCCUCCCGUCCGUCCUCCGCGGUUGCUAGCCCUGGACAAGGAUUGCAAGGCAGUUUCGAAAUCCCGAGCACGCUGGAGACAGACACUCUGUCAUGCCCACAUGCUCUUUAAACGUCUCUGCGUGUGUAUGUUUGUGCGCGCGCGCGCUUUGCAUGUCCUGAUUCAACUCGGCCGCAGUAGCUGCCGCAGCAGCAGAGGCGCUGACUCUUCCUCUCCCCCACCAACCUUCGCCAGCGGCCCCCCCCCUUGAGGCAGCUGCUGCCUUUAUGGGAAACGGGCGAAAACAUCGUGGCUGCUCAUCUGGUUCGAUUUCCCUUUCACAUUCUUGUGACUCUUUCCUGCGAGUGUGGUGUUUGCAAACACAGAGCUCUAGCUGUAGUCUCUCUGGAGACAAGCCUUCCAUCACGGCCAUUUUGUCAUCUACCUACUGUCCCACACAUCCUGCACAAGACGCUAAGGUCAUCCACUGCAUCCCAGGACUUUUGUCCAGCCACUGGACUUCAAUGGCUCUGAUCCAGAGA